CUCCUGCCUCAGCCUCCGGAGUAGCUGGGACUACAGGCGCCCGCCACCACGCCUGGCCAAUUUUUUUGUAUUUUUUUAGUAGAGACGGGGUUUCACCGUGUUAGCCAGGAUAGUCUUGAUCUUCUGACCUCGUGAGCCGCCUGUCUCAGCCUCCCAAAGGGCUGGGAUUACAGGCGUGAGCCACCGCGCCCGGCCGAUUUACCACUCUUGAUGUUCACCACCUGGCUGAGUCUGGAAUCAUUUCUUCAUAAUGACAUUUUCUCCUUUUAUUGGAGAAUGUUAGAAACCAAGAUCAAGAGCUUGAUGUGCUUGUUGAUACUGGAGUGUCAUUGAUUCUUGGCCCUGUCAACUGACCAGAUCAAGGAACUACAUGUGUAUAAGCUAAGGAGAGAAACUGCAGGACACGCAGAAGAAACAAAACCAUACCUGAGACAGCAAACAAAAAGAAUGAGACACAGGCUCUCUUUCUACUCUCUGUUUUGCCUCAGGAUGAACACAGUCUCCCUAACCUCUGACCUCAUCUACUGCAGCUCCUGACAUCUGGGUUCCUUUAUCCCCUCAAGUGAAAAUUCUUCGUUCACUUUUGGAAAAUGGAGUGAUGCCUUUUCUCAGUGUGAUCCACUCUCCAAUCUCCCAGGCUCUGCUAUGUGCCCUGGGAGGCUGAUCUGUUUGGAAGACAGCAACAUCCUUUGACUUACCAUUGAGUUUACCCAAUAGGGAACCCUAGCAAGAGAUGUGGAAGGAGGAAGGCAGGGAGGGAAGGGGAGAGGAGUGACAGAUGGAAAGGCGAGAGGAAGAAAAGUAACAUCUCAGUAUUAGUCCCUUAGAUCCUUCCAAGCAGUUAUCAUGGGUAGACUGUGUCCAAUCUGUAAGCCAAAU
rnacentral:lncRNA from 10 species